UUUUUUUUUUUUUUUUGGUAGAGACAGGGUCUCACUUUGUUCCCCAGGCUGGUCUUGAACUUCUAGGCUCAAGGAAUCCUCCUGCCUUGGCCUCCUAAAGUGUUGGGAUUACAGGCAUAAGCCACCACACCUGGCCUAACUUGGGACUUUUGAAAAAACCAAGACAUUUUUGGAAAGAAGUCAGUAUUUUGGCUGAAUUAGAUAAAAGAUGACAUAAUAAUGGCAAAUCCCAUACAUGACUCAUUCUGGUGCCUCAACGCAGGUUUCAUCUUGUGAAGUUAUGUUGAGCUCCCACUCAUAGCUGGGAAACCCAGGAGGGACAGGGACGCCUGGGUGCGGCCGCUGCCUCCGGACACGAGACAUAGGUCUGCACUCCGCUUCCCUCUGCCUCCGUCGGGGCCCAGCUGGUCACUGGCCGUCUUGAGCCGUGAACACUUCUCUGCUCUUCCUGUCACCCUGCUGCUACGCCUUAUCUUCAGCUUCGCACAUCCAUGGAGACAUCACCCUCCCUUGGAAUGCAUUUGCUUUGGGUUUCCAGCCCAUUGGUCUUGCAACUUGAGUGUUGUAAAUGUGCAGCCAGACAAAGCUGUCAGGAUGUACGAGGUCCAGAGGGAGGCCACUCAAACUCCACCCGCGCUGUGGCCCUCUCUGGUGGGCUUGUGGCCUCCGUCCUGUGGUCCCAGCCAUGGGUCCGGCUCCAGCUGGAAGAAGUCAGGAAGGGAAAAGAGGACAGGCGCUUGCUCCUGAAGUCACUGUGUGGACACUGCCUGUUCCCUGUACCUUCACAUGUGGUGCCACCCCUUAGUCUCAGGAGUAGGAGGGCAGGCUCCAUCCAGGUGGAACUGGGGCGUGAGGAAAAUACAGAAGGUCUGGGGUCUUGGUCACCGGUUGCCGUUUUGACACUAAAAAGGGCUCAACACGCCUGUGGGUGUAUCAGGGAGAGAGAGACCUGUGUCCAAGUUAAAAGUACCCAGUUACUAAGCAGCUUCAGGAGUGGAGGGGAACCCCCAUCUGCCUGGAAAGGUAGCAUUUUUUUCUUAGCUGGCAAGAGUCUUUUUACAUGACGAAGGCUUAGGACUAAACAUCAGAAUGAUGGAGUAAGUCUAACCACAAAUAUCAGUAUAGGCAUGUUUGAUAUUUAAAGUGUUUGAAAUAUUGCGAGAAUUUGGCACAUUAGAAGAACAACACAUUGAAUUAGCCUUGUGAUUUGGGUUUAAAUUGUGUCAUUGAGCAAUUGUUUUUAGCCUGUGAUUCUGGGUGGAAAAGUAUAAGAGCAUUUUACUGAGUUUUUGCACAAUGUUGGGACAGUCCAGGGCGUGGAUAUCCACCUGUUCAAACUCUACUUGUUGGAUUUAGUGGAGUGACUUUAGUACUGGAGAUGUUAUUGCUUCCUGGAACCAUCUGUAAUAAUUUUAAAAGACAAUAAUGAAUUUGCAAUGCAGUUUAACGUGUUUAAGGGAAAAUCAUUUAUUAGGUUUGUAAAUAUGAUUGAUACCAUUAGGGCGUUUAGUAGUUCAAAUCCAUUGGUUCAAACAUUAGUGUUAUUUUUUUGAGACAGAGUCUCACUCCGUUGUCCAGGCUGGAAUGUAGUAGCGUGAUCACGGCUCACUGCUGCGUUAACCUCCGGGCUCAAGCAAUCCUCCCACCUCAGCCUUCCAAGAAGCUGGGAUCCUAGGAUGUACCACCACUCCUGGCUAUUUUUGUUUUUUUUUUUUUUUAGAGAUGGAAUUUCACUAUGUUGCCCAGGCUUUUCUUGAACACCUGGACUCAUGUCAUCUUCCUGCCUCGGGCUCUUAAAGUGCUGGAAUUACAGGCGUGA
rnacentral:lncRNA from 1 species